rnacentral:sRNA from 1 species
CACGGGGGCAGGGCGGAGUGGGUGCUGGCGGGAAGGGGUAGGGGGCUGCCAGAGGGAGGGGCGUUGGAGGCAGGGGUGGUGGCUGCGCCAAGCGGGAACCCCAGGGGCUGGGCCUGGCAGGGUGGGACCUGCAGCCCCGACGCCCUCACCCCGCCCCGCAGGUUCUUCUAUCUCUACCACUUCGCCUUCUAUGCCUAUCACUACCGCUUCAACGGGCAGUAUAGCAGCCUGGCCCUGGUCACCUCCUGGCUCUUCAUCCAGGUGAGGCCUGGGCGGCAAGCAGGGGGCGGGCCAGCCGUGCCUUUCCAGGCAGGAGAGGCUGCAGCCGGGGAGGAUGCCCUGUGGGGUCGGCCCAAGCGGGCAGAGGUAGCGUGGAUGGUCCCGGGUGGGCUGCCCUCUGGGAGCAGCGGCUGGGUGGGGCAGGGGCGGGCCCGUCCUGACUCCCGCCCUCCCUCCCGCAGCAUUCCAUGAUCUACUUCUUCCACCACUAUGAGCUGCCUGCCAUCCUGCAGCAGGUCCGCAUCCAGGAGAUGCUGCUUCAGGCGCCGCCACUGGGCCCCGGGACCCCCACGGCGCUGCCCGAUGACAUGAACAACAACUCGGGCGCCCCAGCUACAGCCCCUGACUCUGCCGGCCAGUCCCCCGCCCUGGGCCCCGUCUCGCCCGGGGCCAGCGGGAGUCCCGGGCCUGUGGCAGCGGCGCCCAGCUCCCUGGUGGCCGCGGCAGCCUCAGUGGCGGCAGCUGCCGGUGGUGACCUGGGUUGGAUGGCAGAGACCGCUGCCAUCAUCACAGACGCCUCCUUCCUGUCCGGCCUGAGCGCCUCCCUCCUGGAGCGGCGUCCAGCCAGCCCGCUGGGCCCUGCUGGGGGCCUCCCCCACGCCCCCCAGGACAGUGUCCCCCCGAGUGACUCCGCAGCUUCUGACACAACUCCCCUGGGGGCUGCGGUAGGCGGGCCUAGCCCGGCCUCCAUGGCCCCAACGGAGGCGCCCUCGGAGGUGGGGUCCUGAGCCGCACAGCUGAGCCGCCUCUGACCCCUGCUGGCUGGGCCUGACCUUCCCGAGCCCGUGGGGGUGGGGGAGGCCAGCCACCUCCUUCCUCUGGGACUGCCCAGGCUGUGUCGGGGGCUUUCAGGGUUUCGUGGGGUUUGCCCGGAAGGCGGCUUUCCUCCCACUGGUGUGAGGUCGCGCCCGAGGCUUGUACCCGCUAGUGAGCUGUUUGAGCUGGUCAGCAAGGAGAGGGGGUGGGGUUCCGCGGAAGGUUCUGGAGGGGUCUUGGUAGGUCUGCAGUGAACCGUCCUGAGGAUGGAGUGGGGUCGCAUGGUGCAGGUCUCUGAGCAAGGCGGAGGUGUGGAGGAGAGGCCGGCUUGGGGUGGGGCCUCGCGCCCUAGUGCCGGCCGGCCUCAGCCCGGCUCUGCCUGGUGCUCCCUGCAGUGCCUUCUCCAUGGCCCGGCCCUCCCCGCGUGUGCGCCAGGCCUGGGGUCCCCGGGAGAGCAGAGCUUGCGCCUCGGGCAUAGGGACGUGGGGUGCAGGCGCCAACAUCAGUGGCAGCAGCCAGGGCCGUGGUCCAGUCCCACUCGGGGAUGGAGUGGGCCGGCGGCCAAACCAGUCACUCGGGGAGGAAUGCGGAGGAGCGCUCAU